rnacentral:rRNA from 1 species
UAGACCGAUAGCGAACAAGUAGAGUGAUCGAAAGAUGAAAAGCACUUUGAAAAGAGGGUUAAAUAGCACGUGAAAUUGUUGAAAGGGAAGCGCUUGUGACCAGACUUGCGCCUGGCUGAUCAUCCGGUGUUCUCACCGGUGCACUCUGCCAGGCUCAGGCCAGCAUCGGUUCUCGCGGGGGGAUAAAGGCCCUGGGAACGUAGCUCCUCCGGGAGUGUUAUAGCCCAGGGUGCAAUGCCCUCGCGGGGACCGAGGUUCGCGCAUCUGCAAGGAUGACUGGCGUAAUGGUCAUCAGCGACCCGUCUUGAAACACGGACCAAGA